rnacentral:rRNA from 1 species
AUUAGGAUAUCAGGGGGGAGUGUGUUAUGAUGGCCGUUUUGGGAUGACGCAAGAUUGCGUCAUGGCGACGUCACCGGAGUGCUAGAACUUGAGUGUCGGCCAUCUACCGUAGGAGGAAGUGUUGGUGUGUUAGUGACCCCGAUUUUGGUGUGUGUGAUCAAACAGCUCUGUAUCGUGUGCGUGUGUAUUUUCUUCUAUUGAUAGCGUUAUUGUUUGCGAAACUUAGUCCUGAACGAAGAAAACGUUUCCUGAAAAAUCGGCGCUGAACUUCGAUUUUGUUCUCUCCAAGCGUUAAAAUUUAUCACAAGGCAGGCAAAGAAUCGGCGAGCGUGAUAUAAAAGCAGCUUGAAAAUAUGUCAGUUUCCAGUUUGGUGACGUUGCACACAGGGUGAUGGCUGCGUUGUGUAGCCGCUGUAGUCGAAGUCCAUCUUUUGUGUGCUGUUUUUUGACGUUUUCUAUCGACGAUCAGUUUGUAAUGAGCGCAAGUUUCAUAAAAUUUCGGUUAUUUUUUAUAUUGUUGUGAGGUAUUACCAAGGUAACGGCGGUUGGUCAAAAUGUAGUGCACUGUUUUUGAUACACUGAACCCGGUCUGCUCUGCAGAAUAUCAUGGAAAAGAACAGCUUAUACUUACUGAUUCUGAUUCGUUCUCAGAACUGGCUUUGCUUCUACGCCUGUCAGGUUCAAUUAGGAAUGUUGAGGAAGAUAUUUUCCAAUGAAAAUUCUAUGAACUUUUCUUCAAGAAAANCACCAGGAGUGGAGCCUGCGGCUUAAUUUGACUCAACACGGGAAAACUCACCCGGCCCGGACACUGGAAGGAUUGACAGAUUGACAGCUCUUUCUUGAUUCAGUGGGUAGUGGUGCAUGGCCGUUCUUAGUUGGUGGAGCGAUUUGUCUGGUUAAUUCCGAUAACGAACGAGACUCUACCCUAUUAAAUAGUGACAGUAUUGUAUUUUUUGUGCUGAUCACUUCUUAGAGGGACUGGCAAAUUGAAAGCUGCACGAAAAAGAGCAAUAACAGGUCUGUGAUGCCCUUCGAUGUCCGGGGCUGCACGCGCGCUACAAUGAAAGCGUCAACGUGAGUUACGUCCUUACCUGAAAAGGUUUGGCAAUCGAAUGAAACGUUUUCUUGAAUGGAAUAGGGAAUUGCAAUUGUUUCCCUUGAACGAGGAAUUCCCAGUAAGCGUGAGUCAUUAGCUCGCGUUGAUUACGUCCCUGCCCUUUGUACACACCGCCCGUCGCUACUACCGAUUGGAUGAUUUAGUGAGGUGUUUUGACUGGCGCCAGUAGUCGGAUAUGUAUUCGGCUUUGCGCCGGGAAAUUUCCCAAACCAAAUCAUCUAGAGGAAGUAAAAGUCGUAACAAGGUUUCCGUAGGUGAACCUGCGGAAG